AAGCUGGCUGGUGCUGUGCCUAGAACUCUGGACUGGAAGCCGCCUGGAGAUGGAUCCGGACUUGGAGGAGCCCGUUUAUGGGACCCCAGACCAUGCUGCUGCUCUCACGGAGCUUAUCUUCUCACAGCGGCGGGUGGUAGGGGAAGUACAUGAUGAAAUGAACAGAAAGAUAUUGGGUAAUGAUAAGGGAUGUGAUGAAAAUGAGACUGAGUGAUGUGAGAGAUCAGAGGGCUUCUCGGAGGAGGUGACAUUUGAGGGGCAGGAGGAUGCAGAGAAAAAGUCUAAAGAAGAAUAAAAGAGCGUUGACUGAGGAGCAGGAGAGUUUGCAGAAAAGACUAGAUGAGAAUGAAGACUAAGUGACUUCGAGGGGCUUGGGGAGGGGCUGCUUGAAGAUGUCAAUGUGGGAGAUGCUUCCUGUUGGUGAGAACCAGCAGAGGUGUGAGACCCUCACUGUGCCCAGUGCCAAGCCCCCACAUUGGAAAAACAAUAGAAGGAAUGCAAAAAGGAUCCACAGUCCUGGGAGACCGAGCUAACAGGCCCUGUUUCAUCUUGGACCAUGUGAUGCGGAGGUUCCUGUUUCAGGUGCUGACUUCCUAAUGAGGCCCUGCGUGGAGAGGUGGCCCCGGGAUGCUAUCUAUCACACAGUGAUAAACAAGGCAGCGACUGUUUCCUGUCCUUUUCUGCGACUGAAUCCAGUCUCAUCCGUCCUCCUAGGUGACGACCCAUAGUCAACAUCCUGCUUUUCCCAUUCACGGCUGAAGGAUAAUGAUGCCGGUUUUCAUUGUGCUUUCGGACCUUGGGACAUGAAGGGAUAGGCUUUCUUUCCUGCCAGAGAUAGGGAAAGGGUGGAUGGGAGGGCUUUCCAACAAAUGCUUCACCUUCCUCCAGUUGCAUAGGAGUGGGGAGAGCCGAGGGAAAUGCAGAGAGGCAGCCCUGGGGCUCCUGAAACCAGGCCAAGAGGUGCAUUCAAUCAAGGACUGACAUUUGCCCAUUGACCUCUUAUCGGAGUUGCUAAGUCACUGGGGCCUUUGUGCUGCAGAAUUGGAAAGGAAGGGUUCACCCAGCCCGGCCAAUCCUGUGCCAGCUCUCUGCCCAGGAGCUGGCCAUUAGCAUUUACCUGACAUCUGACUGAUAUCUUCAUUUCACUUUGGUAAACAGGCCACCUCAAGGCCAAGGUGACAGUGACCUCUGGCGCUGCACACCGCACAGGAUUCUCCCUGGGGACCCUGGCGAAGCACUUUCGCAUCGGCAAGAGCUCCUAUUUCCCCUCCCCACCCUCUGAUUAGUGCUGACGAUAAAUAAAUAACCAUCCAACAGAAUAGACAGCGGGCAGGCAAGCUGGACAGAGAAAGAGAAGUGUGGAAGGGCAUGAGGGAGGGUUGGGAGAGGCAGAGGGGGAGUCGGACUUAGAAGGUUGCCUCUGCUGCUCUCCCACUAAGAACAAUGCAGCUGCCCAGGAAACACACCCGAGCUAUGAAUAGGCUCAAGCACACAGGGCGAAGCUGUCGCAUUUCUGCCGUUUAGAAAGGAUCUCUAGUGUGAAGUUGCUUGGAGGCUCUGAUUUUGCAAACCCAAUUAAAUAUAGAUUUCUUUGGGGUGACGGUUGGGAAGGGUGUGGGUGGAAUGUAUGUCUGUGCUGCAAUGCAAUUUAAUCCUGAAAGUUUCAGCAAACCUAUUCACACACUCCAUAAACAUUUCUGAGCACCUGCUGUGUGCCAAGUGCAAGGCACAUCCAGCUGAAGCACACUUUGCCCCCCAAAAACCCAUGGUCCAAUGGAGUUGCAAUGGCUACUACCUACCAGGGUCAGGCAGGCAACAUGAAUGAAUGAAUUAGGGAGGGUGUGGGACAUUAGGGAGCGGUGGGGACUGUGAGAACGAAGUGCAUGUGUCCUCUGUACAGGGACUGGGGAGCUAUUCAGUCUCAGUUGACUGUCCUGUAUUGUGCCUUAUGAUUUUUAAGGGGAAGCCAUAUGUUUGGAAUUGCUUGUGUGUGUGUGUGUGUGUGUGUGUGUGUGUGCGCGUGUGGUUUUUAUUUCUAUUUUUUUUUUCUUUAAACACUGUGUGGGCCAAACAAACCAUGUCUGUAGGCCUAUUGGGACCAGAGAGGAUCUUCUAAUAACAUAUAAUAAGAGUGACAUAGAAGGCAUCCCAGGGGCUAAUGGAAGCCCUAAGUGGGGCAUUUAACCCAGCCAAGGGUGGAGUUGGGAGUAUCUUCCCAGUGCAGGUGAACUGAAUCUUGGAUAAUGUUAGCCUAAAUCAUGGCCUGGUAAAUCAUGAAUGAUGGUGUAAAUGAUUGGAAGAGCCAUUCCAGGCAGAGUAGUAAUUUAGCUGGGCACUUUGCACAUGCCUGCCCAGCUAAAGACUACAUCUCUCAGCCACCCUGGAAACCAAGCAUGGCCACCUGACUCAUGGUAUCUGUCUCAGUCCUUAAAGGGAAGGAGGGUUCCAUUUGUCUGCACACCCCCGC
rnacentral:lncRNA from 1 species